ensembl:lncRNA
UUUCUAUUCAUGCAUGAAGGCGCUGGAUUGGGUCCUUUGACUCAACUACUUGAUCUAAUCUAUUUUUAUGCUUUUUUUCCCCCCCAUAUAUUUCUUCCUCUUCCUCCUUGUUCUGGGACCUCAUGCAACUAUCUCCUCUCCAAUCUCUCUCACCUCUGACCUCCGACCUCUUGACUUCACACACCUGCUCAGAUGGUCUUCCCUAAGAUCAAUCAUGGCUUUCUUUCUGCUGAUCAGCAGCUCAUUAAGCGCCGGCUCAUUAAGGGUGAUCAGGGUCAAGCAGGCCCCCCAGGACCUCCUGGACCUCCAGGCCCCCCUGGCCCUAGGGGACCCCCAGGGGACACAGGGAAGGAUGGUCCCAGAGGAGCCCCAGGUCAACCAGUAAGUGACUUGGUGGUCACAUGUAAAAGUGCAAAAAUAUAUCUA